rnacentral:rRNA from 1 species
AACGAACGCUGGCGGCAGGCUUAACACAUGCAAGUCGAACGCCCCGCAAGGGGAGUGGCAGACGGGUGAGUAACGCGUGGGAAUCUACCGUGCCCUGCGGAAUAGCUCCGGGAAACUGGAAUUAAUACCGCAUACGCCCUACGGGGGAAAGAUUUAUCGGGGUAUGAUGAGCCCGCGUUGGAUUAGCUAGUUGGUGGGGUAAAGGCCUACCAAGGCGACGAUCCAUAGCUGGUCUGAAAGGAUGAUCAGCCACAUUGGGACUGAGACACGGCCCAAACUCCUACGGGAGGCAGCAGUGGGGAAUAUUGGACAAUGGGCGCAAGCCUGAUCCAGCCAUGCCGCGUGAGUGAUGAAGGCCCUAGGGUUGUAAAGCUCUUUCACCGGUGAAGAUAAUGACGGUAACCGGAGAAGAAGCCCCGGCUAACUUCGUGCCAGCAGCCGCGGUAACAC